GGUUCUUACUAAACUACGCUAGGCUUCGACGUCACUCCCGGAAAAAGUGGGCUAGGCUCCAUUUUAAACUAUUGCCUUUACUCUGAAUUGGACCUCUGCAUAGAAUUAGCAGAAUAUCAGAAUAAAUAAUACAGGUGAUAGACUGUUGGAGAAGUAAAGAAUAAUGUGGGAUGGACCUGGGCAAGGACCACGAGGGGGGCCACCCUUUCGUGGUGAUCGUCGUGGAGACAUGUUUGGGGGCAGAGAUGGUCCCAUGCCUGAGUUUAGAGGUAGGGAUGGCAUGAACAUGGGUCCAAUGGGUAAUAUGGGCCAAAGACCACACGAUGUACCACCUAUGGACAUGCGGAGGAUGGAUGGGCCUAACACAAGGGGGCGAGGGAGUGAAAUGGAAACGCAUGAAAUGCGUGGUAGAGGUCCAAACCGCGAUUCAUUCAGACCCGGCGAAGAGCCCAACUUCAACAUGAGGAGGCAGGGGGAGGAAACUAUCCAAGACAAGCUUUUAAAUCAAACGAACUUUGGGGGUAGGAACUCUCCCAACAUGGAAGGGAGAGGUUUGCCAUCACGGGAGCAAAAUAACAGGUUCAUGGAAAUGAGGGACAGGGACAUGAGGGACAGGGAUAUGUUCCCUGGAGACAUGUCCAGGUUCAACAAUCAAAACAUGGAUGGCAGGAGAUCCUUUCCUAUGGACCGGAUGGAGAGGAACGAUGGCUUUAGGGACAUGCGUGACAGGCCUCCGGAGGGCAUGGAUGACGUGGACGGCUGUCGCCUGGACCUGCCACCUCGUGAGAGGAGGAUGAUGGAGUUCGAUAGAAGAGGGGGACCUCCCUUCCAGUCUAGAGGAGGAUUUGAUUCAGAUAUGGACUUCAGGAGUCGUCCCGGACCGGAGAACGACUUUAGGGGUAGGGAUCGAUCGCCGUUGCGUUUUGGGAACAAUAAUGAUCGGGAGAGAUCAAGGUCCGACAUGCCCCCGGAUGUUGGAAACCCUCAACGACGGGGUUUGAGGGGACCAGAAGAUUCACGUGGAGAGGGGGAAUUUUUGGAUGGUUCACUCAUGGACUAUAGAAGUGGUGAAGAAAUGACUCUCGCUGAAGAAUGGAAGAACCGUAACAAGCAGAAAAGCACAUCAUUUCCCAACGCAAGUAAAGGAUUAGAGGGCUUGACAGACAAACCAGGACCUUUAGCUUUUGGUAGAGAGGGAAUCUUGCCAGUUCCCUCAGCAUUUAAAGGCCGUGAUAGGCCAUUAUUGGAAUUCCCUGGAAAAGACAUUGGCUUCUCCCGUGGCGGCCCCUUUGGGGCCAUGAAUCUCCCAGCAGUGGGCAUUAAACCACCAAUCAACCUUCCUUUCCCAGGAAUGGGUCCACCUCAGGGGCCGCUUGCUGUAGAGAACAAGGGCAAGCCAUGGCUCGAUAUAAAAGAUCCCAAGCUGCCUCCAAGUACAUCAAUUCUUCUUCAAAGACCCACUUACAAUCAAGAGAAAAAUCUGCCACCCCCGGGUUUUAAGGGGCAGAGUGAUUGUUAUCCAGGAACAAAUAAUACCCCACAUAACCAGGGACCUGUGGUCAGCAAGAUUGCGACAGAAUUUCAAAGCAGCAAUGCAGCACAGGGCCGAGACCAGGACUACAGGGACAUCGAUUAUAGAACAGGUUCCACAAGACCCUUUGAUUUUAAACAUGAGGACUUUCAGAGACCUGACAAACUUCUGAAAGAGACUAAACCCAACCCUCCUUCAAAGUUUAGUGACUCUGGCUCUCAGGAUCAAGAUUACAGGAGUGCAUCAAUGGAGGACAAAGUUUCCAAUACGAUAUCCAUAGUUGGCAUCCCAAAGACUGCCACAAUGGAGCAGAUUCUUGGUGCCUUUGUUGUUCGCGAUGGAGUGUCCAUGCAGGGGAUGAAAAUAAAAAGUGUUGUUCCAGGUUACAGCUACGAUACGGCCUAUGUGGAGUUUUUAAACCUCGAGGAUGCAGUCCACUUCAUGGAGUCGAACAAGGGUUCCCUCAAAGUCGGCCAUAAAACAGCUUCCAUGAAAUACGUCCAACCAGAAAAGAAUCCCUUCGCUUUCGAACCGACUCCCAGCGCACCCCAGGUCCAGAAGCCGCUGCUGCCCAUUCCAGACGUGCCAGUCAAAGACGUGCCAAAGCCCGGCCUGAAUGGCUCCAAGGGGGACGGCCUCAUGGAGCCCCCCCAGCCCGCGGCCCAGUGGCAGCGGAGCUCGGACAUGACCCCGGAGGCCUGGCAGCAGCAGGUGGACCAGCAGCAGCAGCAGGACAACCAGCAGCAGGCCGAGCCCUGGGCCAACCGCAACCCGCCCCGCCAGGGCCCGCACAACUCUGAUCCCAUCUUCAAAGAGAGCAAGACCAUGAUCAUCAAGAACGUGAAGCCCACCACCACGGUGGAGACCAUCCUGAAGUGCCUUGAUCCCUUUGCCUAUCUGGAUGAGAAGAACGUCCGUCUGGUCAAGGGCAAAACACCAGGCGCCAAAUGUUUCUGCUUCGUGGACAUGGACUCCCACGAGCAAGUGACCCGUCUGGUGGACCUGCUGACGAAGCCCCGGCCCCUCUCCAUCGAUGGCGUCAGAGUUUACGCCGAGGUCGCCAAACCCCUCAAGAACCAGAAUUUCAGACGAGACGAUAAGCCAGAGACGUCACUCUUGGGCUACCCCCCACCUGACGCCAACAUGACAGCGCAGCAACAACAGUUCUUACAGACUCUGCAGUUCCCACAGUCGCUGCCCCCGCUGCCAGUCAGUGGUGGGUUACAAGUUCCUGGAAAUAUGUUGGCUGGUGGUCUACAUCCCCUGUUGCCAAUGGACUCCAGUUAUAACCAGGCAGUGGGCUAUGGUGCAACGCCAGCGCUGGAUGGCUCGUACCAGGCUGCAGGGCUCCAGGCUGCUGGCCUCCAGGUCGGGGGGCUCCAGGCUGCUGGCCUCCAGGUCGGGGGGCUCCAGGCUACGGGACUCCAGGCUGCGGGACUCCAGGCUGCGGCAGUGCCAUCUACCCUGGAUGGCUCAGAGAACUAUGUUUAUGGUUCUGAAGCUCCGGACGUAUCUAAUUACCUCUAUGACGCAACUUCAGGAUUCUACUAUGAUCCUGAAACCACGCUCUACUACGACCCCGGCUCCAGGUACUUCUACAACGCCCAGACGCAGGAGUACCUGUACUGGGACGCCAAUACCAAGACCUACAUCCCAGUGCCGGGCGGCACGCCGGCCCCCGCCACAGAGACCCAGUCUGUCGCCAUGACGGCGGAGGUCCAGGCCAUCCUGUCCAACCCGGCCGCCGACGCCCCCCUGGAGAUGAAGAAGCCGUCGGAGCAGGCCGUUGCCCCGCCCGAGGUCCCCGACCCGGACCCCUCCCCGGCCCCGGCGGCGGCGGCGGCGGUGGCGGCGGCCCCGGGCCCCAGCGCCACCGGCACUAGCCCCACGCUCACCGCCGAGGAGGAGUCCGCCAGGCGGGAGAAGGAGGGCAAGGAGGAGAAGCCCCGGAGCCUGGCCGCAGUCAAGAUCAUGAAGGACAUGGAGCGCUGGGCGAAGAUCCAGAACCGUCAGAAGGACAGCGUCCGCGCGGCGUCCCCCGUGCUGAGGAUGGGGGCACACGACGACCGCAGGUCGUCCAAGGCGGCCGACGCUGGCUUCGCCGUCUUCGAGAGGAAGGGCUCUGCUGGGGACGAUCUGUUCAAGAAGCCUCUCGCUCCCGCAAAGAAGGACGAGAAGCUGAAGCGGCCCAUGGGAUCCCUGGGCCUGCUCGCGUCCGACUACGGCGCCGGCAGCGACGAGGAGGUGGAGGAGGAGAAGACGGAGGCUCCGAGGAACCUCAAGAGCCAGGCUGAGGACAAGGAGGACAAGCUGACGGACUGGAAGAAGUUGGCCUGCCUGCUGUGCAGGAGACAGUUCCCCAACAAGGACGCUCUGAUCCGCCACCAGCAGCUCUCUGACCUCCACAAGCAAAAUAUGGAGAUCCAUCUCAAGAUCAAGAGGUCCAAGAGGGAGCUGGAGGCACUGGAGAACCAGGAGAAGGAACUGAGCGCUAAAGAGACGGUCACGGUCACGGUCCCGCUGCGGUCGCCGGAGCCCAAGAAGAAGAAACACACGCACCACCACAACGCCUGGGCCGGAGGCUCCAGGGAAACGCACAAAGGCAGCGACCGACCCGGUUUAGGCUGUGAGCCCGUAGAGAGGAAAAAGAAGGAGCCCGUGGUCUGGGACCACGCGACCUACAAGCAAGCGGUGCGAAAGGCCAUGUUUGCCCGCUUCAAGGAGCUCGAUUGACCCGGCUUUGCGUCACCCAUUAUCGUCCGUGUUUGAUUAAUGUGAAGCGUUUGGUCUAAAUGACUUGCCAGAUUUGUCUCGGUGGGGGUAGGAAUACUGCCUCCCCCACUGUGUUUACUGCCUCUCUGCCUUGGUCCUUCUAUAGAGCCGUGACUGUAGGAAAUGAUUUCAAGGGGAAACACUAUGUAAAUAAGCCCUGUUUCACACUAACUGUACUGACCGGAGGUGGCUGGAGAGUGAUAUCCGUUGAUCCGGUUUGUUUUUAUGAAAGACAGUGCAUCAAUAGUUACAAGUUGUGGUUUUUCCCACCCAUAUUAUGGAUAACUGAUAUUUGGUGUCCUAAUAAGUGUCAUUGUGACUCCUUUACUACACAUUAAUUUUAUUUUGAAUACUGCUUAACGUUUGUCUUUUAAUUUUGUUUUAUGUAUACACAAUUUUUUAGUAAAAACCUAAGUUAAUUAGAUCAACUCCUCUGGCGUCUUUUCUUGAUUGUUUUACGUUUAACCGUUUCCAUUUCCGACGGUUCUGGCUCUGACGGCUAAAAGGUUUUACUCUGUGAUGCAGCGUUUCUCCUCUAGAUGGCAGCAACACAUUUGAAACAUUUUCCAAAGGCUGAACUGAACCGGCUGUUGAAAAGAGCUCAGAGUGUACGGGGUUCUAUAGGCCGCAAGAGUUAGCAAUCUUAAUGAGGGAUGAACAAGACAUUUUAAAUUACCAUUUUAUUCUUUCGCUCGCCACAGGCAUUGGGCAUACCAAAAUACGUUGGCACAAACGAACCUGGACGAACCUGGGCAGGCAGAUAUGGCCUGCGUGGCAUAUUAAUCGCUCCGUGUUACCCCCCUUUCCUAACGCUAUGGGGUAGGCUACAGGGGGUCCUGGGUUCAGUGGGCCUAUUUUAUCACAUGGCUCCCGAGUAAAUGCGACGCACUAGGGACUCUGAAGAACUGCACACCUCAUGUAGCCCUACAAUGAGCCACAUCAUGACGAAACGAGUGCGAAGCUUCGCAAAUACAAGAUGGCAAAACAGCCCGUCAUUAAAUCAACCGGUCAUCAUCAUUACCGACCCGGGCGGACCCAGACUCAGCACCACUGUGACAGAGAGACAGGCAUCAUGCUGGGGUGGACUCCAACAGGACGAAGGCCAGGGGGAGACAACACAGAUAUGUGUUUUGUCAUCCACGGCACGUGCGAUCCUUCAAGACGCCCGAUCCACGCUGGCGACAGGGCGAGAGGAACGAGGGAGCCAAUU